rnacentral:rRNA from 1 species
UACGUAGGGUGCAAGCGUUAAUCGGAAUUACUGGGCGUAAAGCGUGCGCAGGCGGCUUUGCAAGACAGAUGUGAAAUCCCCGGGCUCAACCUGGGAACUGCAUUUGUGACUGCAAGGCUAGAGUACGGUAGAGGGGGAUGGAAUUCCGCGUGUAGCAGUGAAAUGCGUAGAGAUGUGGAGGAAUACCGAUGGCGAAGGCAGCCCCCUGGGAUAACACUGACGCUCAUGCACGAAAGCGUGGGGAGCAAACAGG